GACGAACGCUGGCGGCGUGCUUAACACAUGCAAGUCGAACGGAAAGGCCCUGCUUUUGUGGGGUGCUCGAGUGGCGAACGGGUGAGUAACACGUGAGUAACCUGCCCUUGACUUUGGGAUAACUUCAGGAAACUGGGGCUAAUACCGGAUAGGAGCUCCUGCUGCAUGGUGGGGGUUGGAAAGUUUCGGCGGUUGGGGAUGGACUCGCGGCUUAUCAGCUUGUUGGUGGGGUAGUGGCUUACCAAGGCUUUGACGGGUAGCCGGCCUGAGAGGGUGACCGGCCACAUUGGGACUGAGAUACGGCCCAGACUCCUACGGGAGGCAGCAGGGGGGAAUAUGGCACAAUGGGCGGAAGCCGGAUGCAGCAACGCCGCGUGCGGGAUGACGGCCUUCGGGUUGUAAACCGCUUUCGCCUGUGACGAAGCGUGAGUGACGGUAAUGGGGAAAGAAGCACCGGCUAACUACGU
rnacentral:rRNA from 1 species